UACGUAGGUGGCAAGCGUUGUUCGGAUUUAUUGGGGUUAAAGGGUGCGUAGGCGGCUUUUUAAGUCAGUGGUGAAAGCCGAUCGCUUAACGAUCGAACUGCCAUUGAUACUGAGAGGCUUGAGUAUAGUCGAGGUAGGCGGAAUUGACAGUGUAGCGGUGAAAUGCAUAUAUAUUGUCAAGAACACCAAUUGCGAAGGCAGCUUACUAAAGUAUAACUGACGCUGAGGCACUAAAGUGCGGGGAUCAAACAGG
rnacentral:rRNA from 1 species